AUACGGAGGAUCCGAGCGUUAUCCGGAUUUAUUGGGUUUAAAGGGUGCGCAGGCGGCCAUUUAAGUCAGCGGUUAAAUCGUGGGGCUCAACCCCAUUCUGCCGUUGAUACUGGGUGGCUUGAGUGCGUAAGGGGCAGGCGGAAUUCGUCGUGUAGCGGGGAAAUGCUUAGAUAUGAAGAAGAACUCCGAUCGCGAAGGCAGCUUGCCGGGCCGCAACUGACGCUGAAGCUCGAAGGUGCGGGUAUCGAACAGGAUUAGAUACCCUGGUAGUCCGCACAGUAAACGAUGAAUACUUGUUUUCGGCGAUAUAAUGUCGGAGGCAAAGCGAAAGCGAUAAGUAUUCCACCUGGGGAGUACGCCGGCAACGGUGAAACUUAAAGGAAUUGACGGGG
rnacentral:rRNA from 1 species